GAUGAAGAACGUAGCGAAAUGCGAUAAGUAGUGUGAAUUGCAGAAUUCAGUGAAUCAUCGAAUCUUGAACGCACAUUGCGCCCCAUGGUAUUCCGUGGGGCAUGCCUGUUCGAGCGUCAUUUACCCCCUCAAGCUCCGCUUGGUGUUGGGCGUCUGUCCCGCUUCGCGCGCGGACUCGCCCCAAAGGUAUUGGCAGCGGUCGUGCCAGCUUCUCGCGCAGCACAUUGCGCUUCUCGAGGCACCGGUGGGCCCGCGUCCAUCAAGCUCACCCCCCCAGUUUGACCUCGGAUCAGGUAGGGAUACCCGCUGAACUUAAGCAUAUCAAUAAGCGGAGGA
rnacentral:misc_RNA from 1 species